GACGAACGCUGGCGGCAGGCCUAACACAUGCAAGUCGAGCGAGCGGCGGACGGGUGAGUAAUGUAUGGGGAUCUGCCCGAUAGAGGGGGAUAACUACUGGAAACGGUGGCUAAUACCGCAUACUAUCGGAUGAACCCAGAUGGGCUUAGCUAGUAGGUGGGGUAAAGGCUCACCUAGGCGACGAUCUCUAGCUGGUCUGAGAGGAUGAUCAGCCACACUGGAACUGAGACACGGCCCAGACUCCUACGGGAGGCAGCAGUGGGGAAUAUUGCACAAUGGGCGCAAGCCUGAUGCAGCCAUGCCGCGUGUGUGAAGAAGGGCUUCGGGUUGUAAAGCACUUUCAGCUGGGAGGCGUUACCCGCAGAAGAAGCACCGGCUAACUCCGUGCCAGCAGCCGCGGUAAUAC
rnacentral:rRNA from 1 species